GAUGAAGAACGCAGCGAAAUGCGAUACGUAAUGUGAAUUGCAAAUUCAGUGAAUCAUCGAGUCUUUGAACGCACAUUGCGCCCCCUGGUAUUCCGGGGGGCAUGCCUGUCCGAGCGUCAUUGCUGCCCUCAAGCACGGCUUGUGUGUUGGGCCCCGUCCUCCGAUCCCGGGGGACGGGCCCGAAAGGCAGCGGCGGCACCGCGUCCGGUCCUCGAGCGUAUGGGGCUUUGUCACCCGCUCUGUAGGCCCGGCCGGCGCUUGCCGAUCAACCCAAAUUUUUAUCCAGGUUGACCUCGGAUCAGGUAGGGAUACCCGCUGAACUUAAGCAUGUCAAUAAGCGGAGGA
rnacentral:misc_RNA from 1 species